CACGUAGGGGGCAAGCGUUGUCCGGAUUUAUUGGGCGUAAAGGGCGCGUAGGCGGCUUGGCAAGUGGAUGGUGAAAUCCCUCGGCUUAACCGAGGAACUGCCGUCCAAACUGCUUUGCUUGAGGCCGGGAGAGGCGAGUGGAAUUCCCAGUGUAGCGGUGAAAUGCGUAGAUAUUGGGAGGAACACCAGUGGCGAAGGCGGCUCGCUGGACCGGUUCUGACGCUGAUGCGCGAAAGCGUGGGGAGCAAACGGG
rnacentral:rRNA from 1 species